rnacentral:rRNA from 1 species
GACAAAAAAUAAUCAAUGCUAGAUACUAUGUAUUUUAGUAAUUGGAAUGAGUACAAUUUAAUCCCUUAACAAGUAACAAUUAGAGGGCAAGUCUGGUGCCAGCAGCCGCGGUAAUUCCAGCUCUAAUAGCGUAUAUUAAUAUUGUUGCAGUUAAAAAGCUCGUAGUUGAAAUUUGGGACUUUUAUUAUAUUGGUUUGUCUUUUGAUGAACUGUAUGAUGGGUUUCUUCCUACUAGAGUUCGAUUCUGUUCUUAACUGAAUGGAGUAGCUAUCUUUCGGGGUGGUCAGUUGGUUGUUAUAUCUCCACUAAUGAGCAGAGAGGGGUUAAACCUUCAAAGUGAGUUAUGUGGGUCAAGGUAUAAUGAUUAAUUGGAGUUCUAGUUCAUUUACUUUGAGAAAAUUAGAGUGUUUAAAGCAGCCUCUUGGGGCACUGAAUACAUUAGCAUGGGAUAAUAAAAUAGGAUCUUCACAAUAUAUUUUAUUGGUUUAAAUUGGAUAUGAAGAUAAUGAUUAAUAGGGACAGUUGGGGGG